GCCCUUCUUAUAUCUCCUCAAUGAUCCAUAGGUAUGCCCCUCCUCGUUCCCUCCGCUCUGCCCGUGACCACCUCGCACCCAUACAGCCAACUCGCGCUUGCAGGACCUCUGCGGGUGGCUCCUUUCCUAUGGAAUAGCCUGCCUACCGCCAUCAGACUUUCCCCUAGUCUUCAAUCAUUUAAGAAGAGCCUUAGGAAAGCAUAUGGCCUCCCAGAGUAACCUCUACCUUACAUACCUGUCUCUUGCUCUCUCUACCC